UACGUAGGCAGCGAGCGUUGUUCGGAAUCAUUGGGCGUAAAGCGCGUGUAGGCGGUUCGGUAAGUCCGCUGUGAAAGUCGGGGGCUCAACCCUCGAAUGCCGGUGGAUACUGUCGGGCUAGAGUGCGGAAGAGGCGAGUGGAAUUCCUGGUGUAGCGGUGAAAUGCGCAGAUAUCAGGAGGAACACCAAUUGCGAAGGCAGCUCGCUGGGACGCUACUGACGCUGAGACGCGAAAGCGUGGGGAGGCGAACAGG
rnacentral:rRNA from 1 species